rnacentral:rRNA from 1 species
GGAUUGCGUAGUAACGGCGAGUGAAGCGGCAAUAGCUCAAAUUGAAAGCUGGCGUCUUUGACGUCCGCGUUGUAAUUUGUAGAGGAUGUUUCGGCGAGGGCUCCUGCCUAAGUUCCUGGAAUGGGACGUCACAGAGGGUGAGAAUCCCGUAUGUGGCGGGCGGUCUUAGCCAUGUGAAACUCCUUCGACGAGUCGAGUUGUUUGGGAAUGCAGCUCUAAAUGGGAGGUAAAUUUCUUCUAAAGCUAAAUACCGGCCAGAGACCGAUAGCGCACAAGUAGAGUGAUCGAAAGAUGAAAAGCACUUUGGAAAGAGAGUUAAAAAGUACGUGAAAUUGUUGAAAGGGAAGCGCUUGCAACCAGACUCGUUCGCAGUUGCUCAGCCCGCCUCUUGGUGGGUGUACUCUUCUGCGGUCGGGCCAGCAUCAGUUCGGGCGGUCGGAUAAAGGUGUCGGGAAUGUAGCACCCUUCGGGGUGUGUUAUAGCCCGGCGCGGAAUGCGGCCAGCCUGGACUGAGGAUCUCGCUUCGGCAAGGAUGCUGGCGUAAUGGUUGUAAGCGGCCCGUCUUGAAACACGGACCAAGGAGUCUAACAUCUAUGCGAGUGUUUGGGUGUCAAACCCAUGCGCGUAAUGAAAGUGAACGGAGGUGGGAACCCGUAAGGGUGCACCAUCGACCGAUCCUGAUGUCUUCGGAUGGAUUUGAGUAAGAGCAUAGCUGUUGGGACCCGAAAGAUGGUGAACUAUGCCUGAAUAGGGUGAAGCCAGAGGAAACUCUGGUGGAGGCUCGCAGCGGUUCUGACGUGCAAAUCGAUCGUCAAAUUUGGGUAUAGGGCGAAAG